UCUACGGGAGGCAGCAGUGAGGAAUAUUGGUCAAUGGGCGGAAGCCUUAACCAGCCAAGUCGCGUGAGGGAAUAAGGUCCUACGGGUCGUAAACCUCUUUUGCCGGGGAGCUAGUGCCGGGACGUGUCCCGGCCCGGAGAGUACCCGGAGUAAAAGCAUCGGCUAACAUCGGGCCAGCGCCCGCGGUAAUACGGGGGAUGCGAUGGUUAUCCGGAUUUAUUGGGGUAACAGGGUGCGUAGGGGGGCGUUUAAGUCAGCGGUAAAAAUUCGGGUGUCAACCACGUCCUGCAGUUGAAACUGGGAGCCUUGAGUGGACGAGAGGAAGGCGGAAUUCGUGGUGUAGCGGUGAAAUGCGUAGAUAUCACGCAGAACCCCAGUGGCGAAGGCAGUCUUCCGGCGCUCUACUGACGCUGAGGCACGAAAGUGCGGGGAGCGAACAGGAUUAGAUACCCUUGUAGUC
rnacentral:rRNA from 1 species